rnacentral:misc_RNA from 1 species
UUUCCGUAGGUGAACCUGCGGAAGGACCAUUAUUGUAUAAUCGAGGUGCGAGGGCUGUCGCUGACCCGAAAGGUCGUGCACGCCCGAGUGCCCUCACACACAUCCAUCUCACCCCUAUGUGCACCACCGCGUGGGUCCCCCUUUGGCUUGUUCGGAGGGGGGCUUACGUUUUCACACAAACUUUGUAUGCAGUGUAGAAUGUAUUUUUUGUUUUUGCGAUCACGCAAUCAAUACAACUUUCAACAACGGAUCUCUUGGCUCUC